rnacentral:rRNA from 1 species
AACGAGCGCUGGCGGCAGGCCUAACACAUGCAAGUCGAACGCUGUAGCAAUACAGAGUGGCAGACGGGUGAGUAACGCGUGGGAACCUUCCCAAUGGUGCGGAAUAGCUCAGGGAAACUUGAGGUAAUACCGCAUAAGCCCUUAGGGGGAAAGAUUUAUCGCCAUUGGAUGGGCCCGCGUCGGAUUAGCUAGUUGGUGAGGUAAUGGCUCACCAAGGCAACGAUCCGUAGCUGGUUUGAGAGAAUGACCAGCCACACUGGGACUGAGACACGGCCCAGACUCCUACGGGAGGCAGCAGUGGGGAAUCUUGGACAAUGGGCGCAAGCCUGAUCCAGCCAUGCCGCGUGAGUGACGAAGGCCUUAGGGUUGUAAAGCUCUUUUGCCGGGGACGAUAAUGACGGUACCCGGAGAAUAAGUCCCGGCUAACUUCGUGCCAGCCGCCGCGGUAAAAC